rnacentral:rRNA from 1 species
CGGAGGAUCCAAGCGUUAUCCGGAAUCAUUGGGUUUAAAGGUCCGUAGGCGGUUUAGUAAGUCAGUGGUGAAAGCCCAUCGCUCAACGGUGGAACGGCCAUUGAUACUGCUAGACUUGAAUUAUUAGGAAGUAGCUAGAAUAUGUAGUGUAGCGGUGAAAUGCUUAGAGAUUACAUGGAAUACCAAUUGCGAAGGCAGGUUACUACUAAUUGAUUGACGCUGAUGGACGAAAGCGUGGGUAGCGAACAGGAUUAGAUACCCUGGUAGUCCACGCCGUAAACGAUGGAUACUAGCUGUUGGGAGCGAUCUCAGUGGCUAAGCGAAAGUGAUAAGUAUCCCACCUGGGGAGUACGUUCGCAAGAAUG